CUGGAACUGAGCUAGCUUUAAAAAGAGAACCGGCAUUAAUUCCUUGGAAACAGAUUCCAUCUGAUGAGGUCUCGAAAACCUGUGACGGUAAGGACGCCAAAAUUGCCAAGGAAAGCAUGAACAGCGGAGAGAAAAGUGGAGGAACAUCGGAUUACAGAGUAGUUGUGGCAUUGGAAUUCAUGAGAUUAGGAUCAGAGAUGACCGAAAUCAUGCUCGUGAGAUGGUGUAUGUUUACGCAGACAGAUGUAAUAGUGGAGACAAUGUUGGAUAAUUCCAAGCUCGUGGAAACUUAACAUAUUAUUAGAUGUUUAAUAUGUUAAGAUAAACACAAUAAGGAAACCUAAAAAUAGGAAAAUAAAGUUUCUAUUU
rnacentral:lncRNA from 1 species